UACGUAGGGCGCAAGCGUUGUCCGGAAUUAUUGGGCGUAAAGAGCUCGUAGGCGGCUUGUCGCGUCGGUUGUGAAAUCCCUGGGCUUAACCUGGGAACUGCAGUCGAUACUGGUGGACUAGAGUACGGUAGAGGGUGGCGGAACUCCGGGUGUAGCGGUGAAAUGCGUAGAUAUCCGGAAGAACACCGAUGGCGAAGGCAACCACCUGGGCCUGUACUGACGCUGAGGUACGAAAGCGUGGGGAGCAAACAGG
rnacentral:rRNA from 1 species